UAAUCAAGUGUUUUUAUGGCACUUUCCAAAAUCCAUAUCCACCUUGUGUGCAAUGUCAUCUCACUGGAGGUCAACGGCUGUAAAAAUCCGUGGUCACCUUUGGGAUUUAUAUCUACUCAGAACUUUAGUGAUUUGUCUGAAACAUAUUAUGAAUACUUAAUUCAAAAUA
rnacentral:misc_RNA from 1 species